rnacentral:rRNA from 1 species
CAAGUCGAGCGAAUCUGAGGGAGCUUGCUCCCAAAGAUUAGCGGCGGACGGGUGAGUAACACGUGGGCAACCUGCCUGUAAGACUGGGAUAACUUCGGGAAACCGGAGCUAAUACCGGAUAAUUCUUACCAACACAUGUUGGUAAGCUAAAAGACGGCGCAAGCUGUCACUUACAGAUGGGCCCGCGGCGCAUUAGCUAGUUGGUAAGGUAAUGGCUUACCAAGGCAACGAUGCGUAGCCGACCUGAGAGGGUGAUCGGCCACACUGGGACUGAGACACGGCCCAGACUCCUACGGGAGGCAGCAGUAGGGAAUCUUCCGCAAUGGACGAAAGUCUGACGGAGCAACGCCGCGUGAGUGAUGAAGGUUUUCGGAUCGUAAAACUCUGUUGUUAGGGAAGAACAAGUACGAGAGUAACUGCUCGUACCUUGACGGUACCUAACCAGAAAGCCACGGCUAACUACGUGCCAGCAGCCGCGGUAAUACGUAGGUGGCAAGCGUUGUCCGGAAUUAUUGGGCGUAAAGCGCGCGCAGGCGGUCCUUUAAGUCUGAUGUGAAAGCCCACGGCUCAACCGUGGAGGGUCAUUGGAAACUGGGGGACUUGAGUGCAGGAGAGAAGAGUGGAAUUCCACGUGUAGCGGUGAAAUGCGUAGAGAUGUGGAGGAACACCAGUGGCGAAGGCGACUCUUUGGCCUGUAACUGACGCUGAGGCGCGAAAGCGUGGGGAGCAAACAGGAUUAGAUACCCUGGUAGUCCACGCCGUAAACGAUGAGUGCUAAGUGUUAGAGGGUUUCCGCCCCUUUAGUGCUGAAGUAAACGCAUUAAGCACUCCGCCCUGGGGGAGUACGGCCGC